GACGAACGCUGGCGGCGUGCUUAACACAUGCAAGUCGAACGGAAAGGCCCUGCUUGCCGGGUACUCGAGUGGCGAACGGGUGAGUAACACGUGGGUGAUCUGCCCUGCACUUCGGGAUAAGCCUGGGAAACUGGGUCUAAUACCGGAUAGGAGCCAUUUUUAGUGUGAUGGUUGGAAAGUUUUUUCGGUGUAGGAUGAGCUCGCGGCCUAUCAGCUUGUUGGUGGGGUAAUGGUCUACCAAGGCGGCGACGGGUAGCCGGCCUGAGAGGGUGGACGGCCACAUUGGGACUGAGAUACGGCCCAGACUCCUACGGGAGGCAGCAGUGGGGAAUAUUGCACAAUGGGCGCAAGCCUGAUGCAGCGACGCCGCGUGGGGGAGGACGGCCUUCGGGUUGUAAACUCCUUUCGCUAGGGACGAAGCUUUUUGUGACGGUACCUAGAGAAGAAGCACCGGCUAACUACGUG
rnacentral:rRNA from 1 species